rnacentral:rRNA from 1 species
GACGAACGCUGGCGGCGUGCUUAACACAUGCCAGUCGAACGGAAAGGCCCUGCUUUUGUGGGGUGCUCGAGUGGCGAACGGGUGAGUAACACGUGAGUAACCUGCCCUUGACUUUGGGAUAACUUCAGGAAACUGGGGCUAAUACCGGAUAGGAGCUCCUGCUGCAUGGUGGGGGUUGGAAAGUUUCGGCGGUUGGGGAUGGACUCGCGGCUUAUCAGCUUGUUGGUGGGGUAGUGGCUUACCAAGGCUUUGACGGGUAGCCGGCCUGAGAGGGUGACCGGCCACAUUGGGACUGAGAUACGGCCCAGACUCCUACGGGAGGCAGCAGUGGGGAAUAUUGCACAAUGGGCGGAAGCCUGAUGCAGCAAUGCCGCGUGCGGGAUGACGGCCUUCGGGUAAACCGCUUUCGCCUGUGACGAAGCGUGAGUGACGGUAAUGGGUAAAGAAGCACCGGCUAACUACGUG